rnacentral:rRNA from 1 species
GAUGAACGCUGGCGGCGUGCCUAAUACAUGCAAGUAGAACGCUGAAGGAGGAGCUUGCUCUUCUGGAUGAGUUGCGAACGGGUGAGUAACGCGUAGGUAACCUGCCUGGUAGCGGGGGAUAACUAUUGGAAACGAUAGCUAAUACCGCAUGACAACAGUUAUUGCAUGAUAACUGUUUAAAAGGGGCAACUGCUCCACUACCAGAUGGACCUGCGUUGUAUUAGCUAGUUGGUGAGGUAACGGCUCACCAAGGCGACGAUACAUAGCCGACCUGAGAGGGGGGUCGGCCACACUGGGACUGAGACACGGCCCAGACUCCUACGGGAGGCAGCAGUAGGGAAUCUUCGGCAAUGGACGGAAGUCUGACCGAGCCACGCCGCGUGAGUGAAGAAGGUUUUCGGAUCGUAAAGCUCUGUUGUAAGAGAAGAACGAGUGUGAGAGUGGAAAGUUCACACUGUGACGGUAUCUUACCAGAAAGGGACGGCUAACUACGUG